AGCACCAUUUGCUCGCACUGCUUCAAAUGGGCCUUGCCUGUCGCCGGCUCGUUGGAGAAGUGGCCAGGCAGGAAGACCAGGGGCUCCCGCCCUGUCAGCCUAGAUGUGAACACACACAAAAAAAAGGCUGAACUACACAGGUGGCCAAUCCUCCAAAGAGUUGUUACCUUGGAAACGCCACCCUAUGUAUUUAUAGAGCGCCACAGUGCGAAAAGAGAGCGGCGGGCAGAGUGCUGCUGAGGGUCCUUUUCAGCAGGGAUGUUUUGGCUUGGCCUACUUUUUGGAGGAGCGUCCCUGCAGACUGGAUGGAAGGUGCCUAUGGACCAGCUGGACGUGCUGGACAAACCGGUAUGUGUUGUGUAAUUGAUGCGCGGCGUGAGCAUCCAUUAUUCAUCCGUUCUGGUCGUGAAUCGGCUCUCAUCCGCUUUUAUCUUUCCAUCUUCUGACAUUUCACUUUUUCCCCUCUUCCUCGGUCGCCGGUUAUUACCUUCAACGGUGUGCGGCAAACAAACAAAAUAGGUGAUGCUCAUGUAUUAUUGUUUAUUUACCAACGGUUUCACAGCAGUUGACACUUGUAGCUUAUAGACAACCCCUGCUGUUUAAUAAAAUACAUUUUUACAACAAUAACAAAUGCAAAAAUGUAUAUUUAGGUACAGCCUUGAUGUGAUGCGGAAUAUUUCCGUCAGAACUCAUUGAGGUAGCAUAUUUCAGUGACUUUGCGCAUUCUCACACUAUUAUCGGUCAACAUGUGCUGCUCCACUGUUUGUGUUGAAAUAUCCAUUGUUGUUUCCGAAAUCAAACUGACUAACGAUGCUAACUGUUUUGGGUUGUUAGCAUCAAGC